rnacentral:tRNA from 1 species
GUUCCUGUAGCUUAAACUUAAAGCAUAACACUGAAGAUGUUAAGACGGCCACCACACACCCAGGGACA